rnacentral:rRNA from 1 species
GACGAACGCUGGCGGCGCGCCUAACACAUGCAAGUCGAGCGAUAACCAGUCCUUCGGGACGUGGGGACGAGCGGCGAACGGGUGAGUAACACGUGGGUAAUCUACCCUCGGUUUCGGGAUAGCCCGGGGAAACCCGGGACUUAAUACCGAAUGACCUCUCAGGCUCUCGGGCUUGAGAGAAAAGGUAGCUUCGGCCUCUGACCGAGGAUGAGCCCGCGGCCGAUUAGCUGGUUGGUGGGGUAAUGGCCCACCAAGGCGACGAUCGGUAGCUGGUCUGAGAGGACGAUCAGCCACACUGGGACUGAGACACGGCCCAGACUCCUACGGCAGGCAGCAGUGGGGAAUCUUGCGCAAUGGGCGAAAGCCUGACGCAGCGACGCCGCGUG